ACUACGCUGAUACAUCGGUUCUCGUCCGAUCACCGAAAUUAAGCAGCGUCGGGCGCGGUUAGUACUUAGAUGGGGGACCGCUUGGGAACACCGCGUG
rnacentral:rRNA from 1 species